AGCAACCAGAAGGCUAUUUUUGAUAUCUUUGCCAUAAGCACCUAAAUCAGUCUCCACAACAUGAACUUGACAAUGAAGAACACACAGAAGAAGCCUGAUUCAGGAUGGCACCCCCACAUCUGUUGGUAGUCACAGUCCAGCAGAGAAAUCAGAUGAGUGCCACUGUGGUAAAAUUCCACUGAUUAUUAACUGCAGACACAAAGCUAGACAGAGCAUCAGAGUCUGAAGCAUCAGGUCUGAUUAGGAUAGACAAUGAGUAGAAAAUCUUACAGUGGAGUGUGUGCGGCUAAAGCUUCCUGCUUAGUGCACUGUUGAGCUCAACUUGUGAUAUCUCCGACACUGAGAGAAACUUGCCCAAGAACUGCUUGAGAGGGUCUUGCUACAGCUUGCUGCUUUUGGGGCCUUGCCUCAGGCCAGUUGGUGAGCCUGGCAGUUUCUUUAGGAUUGAACUACAGCUGCCUGGUGUCUGCUUGCUGGAAGGACUGGCCUGCAGCUGCUGAAUUGUAUUUGGUGUUUGCUAUGGGACUGAACUGCUGCCAAAGAAGAUCAAGUUCGCCUCCAAAGAACUAUUGGUGAAUAGGUCUACUUCCCCCAUAUCCUAAUAACUUUUCUCUUCCACUAC